ACUUCUAAUACGUCAUUACAAUCUUCUCCUUAUGCUGUACCACAGUCCUCUGUACAAUUUCAUAUCCAAGCAGAAGUUAAGUUUGUCUGGACUAGAUAGAGAUAAAGUAUCUGGUCAAGCCUCUGCAGAAAUUCUCCCAAUAAUACCAGAUAGUCAAAACACUCCAUAAGUGGUCAAACUCAGUUCUGGGUGGACUACAAUAAGCUAAAAGAUUCUACCUUGGAUGAGCAGAAGCAGCGGAACCUAGAUAACAACAAGGAAAAUUCUCUUAGUGUGGAUGAACCGUCUCAGCAUAGGUGUACAGACAGUGACCCAGCAUCCUCUGCUAAUUCUUGCACCAACAGGCAGACUGCAAGUGACAACUGCAAACUAAAUCAAUCCAGCAGAUGAUGAUGCAAAUGAAAAUGGAUGACCUUCCAUACUUGUUUGGACAAAGAACCAAACUCAAAUACUUUGGUUGGGGAAACUGUGUUUCCUCUUGAUGAUGUCAAUUCAAGCAAAGAUAAGUGUACUUUUCAGAUGGCUUCUUCAUGUGUCACUGAGCUAUCUGAUUUAGAUAAUUUGCAAGCAAAAGAUUGCACAGAUGUUCUAUGGACAUCUUCCUUUAUGGGCGAAGACUGUACUAGUGGGGUCACUAUAGAUGUUGAAUCUCUAGAUUCAAAUGAUGCAAAGAUACUUCGCUUGUCUUGUCGUGCCACAAGUCUACUUCUGGCAAUGCUGAAACCGCUUUUCAGAAAUUGCAGGGCAUAUAAUAUCUCCACCAGUCAAUGACAAACAGGAUAAUAUUUUAACCUCACAUGUUGAGUUACUUGGGGAUACAAUGGAUGGCUCAAUGGAUGAGGAGCUGAAGAAGUUGUCUCUCCAUGAGCCGGAAGAAUGAAGCAUGCAAGUUGGAUGUUCUUGUGAGGAUGACGCCACAUUCUUAUCUGCAUUACACAACGUAGGAGGUGCAGAUUCCUCUCCUGUUAGUAAAAUUGUCAAGGAGUUUUCAUCUGGUUUGGAAUUUAAGCCUGUUGAAGGAGAGAUCUCUACUUAUGAUCCUUCAUUGUGGACACCAAUGGAGAUAGCUACAGCAACUGGCAGUGCAGAUUGUCUUU